rnacentral:rRNA from 1 species
UAGGGAAUCUUCCGCAAUGGGCGAAAGCCUGACGGAGCAACGCCGCGUGAGUGAUGAAGGUCUUCGGAUCGUAAAACUCUGUUAUUAGGGAAGAACAAAUGUGUAAGUAACUAUGCACGUCUUGACGGUACCUAAUCAGAAAGCCACGGCUAACUACGUGCCAGCAGCCGCGGUAAUACGUAGGUGGCAAGCGUUAUCCUGAAUUAUUGGGCGUAAAGCGCGCGUAGGCGGUUUUUUAAGUCUGAUGUGAAAGCCCACGGCUCAACCGUGGAGGGUCAUUGGAAACUGGAAAGCUUGAGUGCAGAAGAGGAAAGUGGAAUUCCAUGUGUAGCGGUUAAAUGCGCAGCAAUAUGGAGGAACACCAGUGGCGAAGGCGACUUUCUGGUCUGUAACUGACGCUGAUGUGCGAAAGCGUGGGGAUCAAACAGG